rfam:Pseudomonas brenneri strain RGCB 108 Contig163, whole genome shotgun sequence.
CCACGCUGGCCGUCAUCCGAUAUUGAUUUGGGGGGUAAACCGGCAGGACGCCGGUUUAGCCGCGCUGGGCCAUGGAUGGCCCAUCGCGGCGCCCAAAUCAAUGUCGGAUGACGGGCACACCGA